rnacentral:rRNA from 1 species
UACGAGGGGGCGAGCGUUGUUCGGAAUUAUUGGGCGUAAAGGGUGCGUAGGCGGCCUGACAAGUCUGAUGUGAAAUCCCUGGGCUCAACCCAGGGCCUGCAUCGGAAACUGUCGGGCUUGAGUAUGGGAGAGGUGAGUGGAAUUUCCGGUGUAGCGGUGAAAUGCGUAGAUAUCGGGAGGAACACCUGUGGCGAAAGCGGCUCUCUGGACCACAACUGACGCUGAGGCGCGAAAGCUAGGGGAGCAAACAGGG